UAAAACACCUUCCACUGGGACUGGGCUGUCUCUCUACGCCAAUCACAGUGUCUCCUGAUAGCACACAGUGGUUCUAAAACAUUGGGUGGCCUCUGCACUGGAAGGAUUCUAGCCUUUAAGUGAGAGCCUUUAAGCCACACAAUA
rnacentral:snoRNA from 1 species